AAGUAAUCAUUUUACACCUGUAACAAUUACAACUGGAUUUUCUCAGCCAAUGUGAGGCUCCCUACAUGUUUAAAUUCCAACGUAAACUCAAGUAUAAAAUGUGUAGUUACAUUUUUCACUUGAGAGAUGAACAAAUGAAUUGAGUACACUGUACAAAUUUACCACAUAUUUCCCAAACUUGCAACUGUUAGGAUUACCGCUAUGGAACAUGUAACUGUAGUCGAAUUGCCCAAAUUUUGGCCUAUCUCUCUAAGGAAAACUAGCUCCCUG
rnacentral:misc_RNA from 1 species